UACGGAGGGUGCAAGCGUUAUCCGGAUUCACUGGGUUUAAAGGGUGCGUAGGCGGGCAGUUAAGUACCUUGUGAAAUCUCCGGGCUUAACUCGGAACGGUCAAGUGAUACUGUCGUGCUAGAGUACAGAAGGGGCAACUGGAAUUCUCGGUGUAGCGGUGAAAUGCGUAGAUAUCGAGAGGAACACCUGCGGCGAAGGCGGGUUGCUGGGCUGAUACUGACGCUGAGGCGCGAAAGCCAGGGGAGCGAACGGG
rnacentral:rRNA from 1 species